UGGGGAAUAUUGCACAAUGGAGGGAACUCUGAUGCAGCGACGCCGCGUGAACGAAGAAGGCUUUCGAGUCGUAAAGUUCUUUUAUAUGGGAAGAUAAUGACGGUACCAUAAGAAAAAGCCCCGGCAAACUACGUGCCAGCAGCCGCGGUAAUACGUAGGGGGCUAGCGUUGUGCGGAAUCACUGGGCGUAAAGGGUUCGCAGGCGGAAAGGCAAGUCAGGUGUAAAAGGCGGUAGCUUAACUACUGUAAGCAUGUGAAUCUGCUUAUCUUGGGAAGAGUAGGGGUAAGUGGAAUUUAUAGUGUAACGGUGAAAUGCGUAGAUAUUAAAAGAAUACCGGGGGCGAAGGCGACUUACUGUGCUCAUUCUGGCGCUGAGGAACGAAAGCGUGGGUAGCAAACAGG
rnacentral:rRNA from 1 species